UGAGAUUCAAGCCUAGGUUCUUUCCCAC
rnacentral:piRNA from 1 species